UGAAAAGAAAAUGAAACUGAAAGAUGAAGAUGAGAAUGAAAUUGAUGUAGAUAAACGGGAAAAUGUGAAAUUGUUUGGACUUUUUGUUUUCUUAUUUUCACCAGAAAAAAGUAAAAACAAAAUGAAAACAAAAAAAACAUGAAAAUCUUCUCAUUUUCCUUCUUCAUCUUCAUCUUGUUCAUCAUCCUCUUGGGUAUUCCGUACAAUUGAACCUUUCCGUGAAUCCAGGCUUGUUUCAUCCUUUUCCAGUCUCCAUCCUUGGUUCAUGGUUUAACAUCACUGUUGAUGGCAACAAUUUGCAGCACGCAAUCAAAUUCAAAGUUAGUAAAAGUUGAACUGAAAGAAGCAAAGAAAUGAUUCUUUUCAUUUUCAGGCUCAUCAACUUGUCUAUUUUAUCUUCAAUCAACUUUUACCAUUCCUAAUGAUGUAUAUCGCUUUUCAAAUUGAACCAAAACAAAAGUUCGCAUCAAUAUUUUACUCUUCAAUAUCACUGGUUCCAGUGUUUCUCAUUGCAACUCAUCAUGAUCAUGGAGACAAAAAUAUUAAGAAUAAGCAACAUCUUUGAUAAGCUCAAUAUCAUUGGUAACUUUACGUCUUUUGGGAGUUUAAAAGUAAUUUAAAGGUUUCCUCACUUUUUUGGUUUUUGGUUAACUUUUGACUUGAAAAAUGUUUUCUGGUUAAUGAUGAUUGUUCACUGUUUUGUUAUUGCUUUGACAGUCAACUUGGAAACAUCGAAAUGCAGGAAUAUUCCGAGUUUCAGGAGCGUUUGAGAAUUAAUCAGAAUCUUUCCAAUUUUAGUUUUUUAACCCAUUUUUUAUUUCGUUUAAUAGUUUUCGCAAAGCUAUUGUUUAGGUUUCUCUUGAAUCACUUUUAUAUUCAAUCUUUGAUUUGCAGUUGACCUUUCAUUCCAUUGAAAAGGUAAAGUGAAAGGGUAAAUUAUAUUGUUUCAAUAGUUUAUUAUUCAUUUAUUCAGACUGUUUGGCUCAAUUUAUAUUUGCAUGUUGAAAGCAAAAGCUCAUGAGAAUUCAAGAUUGAAUCAAACGUUUCUCAACAUUGAUUAGCCAAGAGUGAGAUUCAAGUAAUGUAAGUUUACUUUCGUAUGAUUUGAAUCAAUUUCAAUCGCUAAUUAUUACGAUUAAUUUGCUUAUUAUAAGUCAAAGCUCAUGCAAGAUAACUCAAUGAUGUUUAUCAAACAUCAAUCUGAAUAUCAAGUAAUUCAAAUAGUCACUGGUUUGCAUUAAAAAUCAAAGCAUUGUUACCCAAACAAGAAGCCUUUAGCCUUUGAUAAUCGUUUAUCACCAGAGUUAACUGCGUUAGAAUUUUAAAAAAUGAAAAAUUAGCUGAAUAUUGAGGUUAGCUUGGCUCGACCAAAGCUUUUAGUUUGGGAGAAACAGUGACAAUUUGAAUGCAAUUUGUGUUAAUGUAAGUUCAAUGUUUUUGAUCUUAACGGUUACCAAGUUAUUUGUGAUCUUAACUUGACAGUUUUAUGUUUCAAGGUUAAUCCCCUUCCAUGGGCUUAUUUUUCACCAAAUCUGUGGUCGAUUGGGUUAAUUCAUUUAUCAUUGUAAAUAUCAUGUCGUACGCAACUGGCUGCUCUCCUAAAUGGCUGUAAUCAUGAAAAUGAGUGAAUCAAUCACGAGCAAAUAAUUUACCUUAUUGGUCACAAAUAAGUUUUAAACAAAAAACCUUCAACCUCAGGUCAAGAACUUUCGAGAUUUUCCUUUUUACUUUCCCUGUUUUACGAGAACCAAACAGAUUGUGUUCAAAUUUGCUCUAUCACUCAUCAUUAUUAUUAGAAAAUUUUGAACACAAUAAUGUUUGGCACAAAGUAAAAGGUUCAAAAUGAACCUAAAACUCGAUUAUAUCUCAAUUGACAAGGUAAAAUAAAUGGAUUUUAAGGUUAAAAAAGGGAUCUCAUCAUUCAUCUUUUGUUUCAAGUCUACUUGUUAGAUUAAGUUUUGACCAUUUCAAAUGGUUAUUUUGUUUAUUGCCAUUGAAAUUGGGAAUGAAAAAUGAAAUAAUAAUCAUUUCCAUAUUAGUUAUACUUUUUAUUAUUAUUCAAGAUUCUUAUCAAAGGUUGAAUCCUCUGAUUGCGUGAUCAUAAUAUUGAACAGACUGAAUUUACAAUUUCAUUUCAAGCUAAUAAACAUUCAGUUGAAACUGGAAAAUUGGACAGCAAAUUUGAUAGCAAAAUUGCCAGCUUUUGGUUUGCAAAUUUUGUGCUCAUCUUAAAUAAACCAUUGAUUAACAAGCAUUUAAAUUUUAUUAGUUUUAAUUGAUGUUUAUAGAGAAAGUAAUUGCUGUUACAAUUGAAUGGAAACUUGAAGAGUGUAAAACAAUUAAGAGGUAAACUUGGAGUUUUUAUUCCCAGUCAUUGGAAACUUGAUAAAUCUGAAUUACAAAUGUAAUGACAAAUCAUUGAUCUUUAUUUAUGUUAUUCUGACUUUAAUUUUUUUGCUUAUAAUGAUUAUUAUGAUGAGGAGUUGGAUAAUGAUAAUGAGAACCAUCUAAUGAUCCAAAGAAAUCAAUUGAAUUCUUAUGAUUUAGAUGAUAAUAAUGACGUUUAAAGCAGAGAAUUUGAUUUCGUUUUUUUUGUUCUUUUUCUUGUUUGCUUUUUUUCUUCUUCUUUGCUUGUCAAAAUAAUAUUAAAGAGGAUAAAAGGAAAGGAUCAAGUGAUGAUGAUGCUGAUGAUGAUUACCUUAAGAAAAGGAUGAGAACAAGACUAAACAGUGAUUAAAGUACGAUUAAGAGAUUGUUUUACUUUUAUCUGCCACAAGCUUUUUAAAGAUUAUCAUUAUGAUGAUGGUUUCGAUUUGAUUUCAGUUAAAAUAUCUUAAUCAUUAACUUGACAAUCAAUUGUUUCAUUGAAAGUUGAUAUUCAAUAGAUGGUUUAAAUUGUGCGCUUCUUUAUUUUCCCUCUGCUUGUAAUGAUUCAUUUUGUAAGACAAAGGCUUAUGUUUGGUUCAUUUUUAAUGGUUUGGUUUCUGACUUUCUUUUGAUUAUUUUUGCUAAUUGCUUUUAUCUGUUAAUUUAUUCUUGAUUUUUAUGAUACAUUUGCGGUUGUUCAUUGAUAUCUUUAAGAUAUUCAAUUGUGUCCAGAUUUUACAGAAAUGGUGAUUAAUUGUGAAAGGUUAUCUGGUUCAUUGGUCUUCUCUUGGCUUGCUUUUGUGUUUGUUUUUUGCUUUUGUGCUGCUGGUGAAUGUCGGUUGAUUUAACAGUGUUAAUCUUUUGUGUUCCACCAUCAACUUCCGAUAACAAUUUAAUCAAAUGGUCAACAGUUUCGUUUUAUCAUGUAUCUCAUCAUCUUUCAGUCUUGGUUUGAUCGAAAUCUGUGUGAUCAUUUUUGAUGUUACAUUUUCUUGAUCAAUUAUAAUUAGACUGCUCAUUGGAUUUGACUGACCUUUAAUUAACCAUUGUUUCUAGCAGUUACAGUUUCACUGUUCAAAUGGCAAUGUUUAAUGUUGAGAGGAAAAUUAUCACAGCUGAUUGGAUCAAGAAAAUUCUUGAAAAGAGAAGAUGAUGAGUACAAGGAUGGUAAAAUGAUAAAUGAUGGAUUGGCUUAGAAGACAAGUCAAUGUGAUGACAAAACCAAAGGAAUGUAUCAAUUCAAUAAAGGAUAAGAAGCGAGGCUGAUGAUGGUGAUAACCAUUGAUAUUUGGUUUUUAUCUCAAACUCAUCCAUCAUGAAAUUGAAGGAUAAAACAACUCUUGAAACGGAUUGGAACCAGAGAGAACCAGUGAUUUCAUCUAAUUGAUCUAAUUUAUGCAAAAAAAGAGCCAAGGAAACAAAACAUAACCCAUUUUAAUAGUUAUAAUGAUUGUCUCAUCUUUCAAGCCAAUAUCAUUGAUGAGAUGAAGGAGGAGGCGAAGGAGGAAAAGGAGGUGAUUGGAGCUGAAUAUUGUUGUUCACCAAGAAAAAAACAUAACAGCCAAUGUAUUCAGAUUGACAUGAUGAAGAUGCAUUCAUUUCCUCUUUUUUCUCUUCCUCUUUUAGAACAACAUUUUUCAGUUCAUCGUUUUUUUUUUCAUUCUUGCCUUCUUUUCAUACCAUGGUUGGAUGAAUAUCUCAGCUUUUGCCUUCUCCACUUGCCAGUUAGCAACGAAAAUGAAAAGUCUAAUAUUUUAUUUUUAAUAAAAUAUUGUUUAACUGUUGGUUUGAGAACGGAAAUGGAAACCAGGGAUUUCUGUAUUGAAGAUGAAAUCUUACACUCGAUAUGGCACAGAUACUAUUACAUUGAAAGACACCUUUCCAGUUUAUGCCAUUUGGUUAAAUUUUGUUCACUUAUGGUUCCAAGUGAUUGAUUGAUUAGCUACAAUAUGUAUAUUAACAUAGAUUAUUAUCCACAUCAUCAUAUUAUAAAUCAAUCUCAUUCUCUCUGAUCUUUCCAAUUUUCAACUAUUCCCAUGAUAACCACAAAUCACUACAGGAUGCCUCUAUUGUUGCUGGUCAAGAAAUGUGAAACCUGAAGUCUUUAUUAUUAACUAAUGUUCAACUAAUAAUGAAGUCAAUAAUUAUUUGCUCGAUUAGAUUUUCUGUGGUUUUGUUUCUCAUUCAAAUAACACAUCGAUUACCUAUUGGAGCGGAAAUUUCGUUGGUGCAAAUAAAUGACAUUUGUAACCCUUUUUGCACCUCUUGGAUUUUACUGUGCUCUCAUGAUAAUUCAGCUAACGUUUUUAGAUUAUCAUUAUUGUUAUCAGCAUUGUAGUUGUUGUUGAUGCUGUUAUUGUAAUAAUAUUUUGUCAUAUUUAAUCUGAUGAUGAUGAUGUGGAUAACAAUGAAAUCUUAAUGAUCAAUUGAAUGUGAAGGGGUAAAUUGUAUUCAAGUCACAUUUUACUAAGGAUAAAGAGCUUUCACAUUGCUUCCCAUUGAACCUUUUUCAUGCAACUUUGACAACAAUUGCUGUUAUUGCUAACUGUAAUGGUUAUGAUGAGAGGAUUGUUGAUAAUUUUGUGUUGGUGGCUUUCAUAAUUUUCAUGAUUUCAACACUGAAAGUUUCGUUUUCUCAAUCCCUGGAUUAUUCACCAGACAAUGAAAAUAACAUGAUGAUUUUGACCGUUUGGUAAAUUCAAAUUUUUUCAUUUACCGUUUAUUUCGUGUUUCUAAUAAACUAAAAUUGUGUAAACUGUCGUUUCCAAGCUUAUCUAGUCAAUCGCAUAAGACAAUCAAAAUGUUAACCUAUUUGUCAACUGUUAGUCCUUCAGUCUGCAUAAAGUCUGGUUUUCUUUGUCAAAAAGAUUUCAAUCUUUUAUCAGUUUUAUAAUCAAACCAAAUUUUCCAACCAAUCGAUUAACCGACUUUGUUAACUCUUUCUCAUCGUCUUCAACAUCACCCCUGACAUCAUCAUUAUCAUUGAAAAUUGAGUUAACAGUUUUGCAUUUGAAAUGCCUUUGUUUCUUUUCAUUUCAAGUAGACAUCUUUUUACCCAUUUUUUGUCUCCCUUGCUUGUCAAACCAAUCAUGUUUAUGAAGAGUGUUACCCAUCUUUAUUAAAUUUGAUGUUAAUGAUUAUAUUUUUUUUCUAUUCAACAUUAUUUUGCUUCUGUGUUGUUAUUGUCAUCAUGUUGAACCAUGAAAUUACUUUCAUCACAAAUAAUUUAAAUUGUUCAGUCUUUGAUGUUACCAAAAAAUAAUAAUCGUAUAAAAAAGAUUGUCCAAAUCAUUUAUCAAGCAAACAGUGAAACUCUCGGUUAAACCAUUAACUUUUCCAUCAAAUUGUUGCCAACAAAUUGAUAACAUUUCAUCAUCCAUAGACGCCAUCAUCUUGACUAUUUCAAUGACCAAUUAAUCUUCAUUCACCAUCAUCCAAAUUACUCACCAGAUUGGUUACCAAAAAGGUGGGAUGCAGCUCUAUUAACCACCAACAAACCUCACCUCCAUCUUGUUUGAAAGUUGAGCAAAAUUCACAAUCAUUUGUGGACUCUUUCCCUGGAUCUACUAUUAUAUUUCUGACAAUAAAAUUUAUGUUUAAAAGCUGAUUA